UACAGAGGUCUCAAGCGUUGUUCGGAUUCAUUGGGCGUAAAGGGUGCGUAGGCGGCGCGGUAAGUCGGGUGUGAAAUCUUGGAGCUUAACUCCGAAACUGCAUUCGAUACUGCCGCGCUUGAGGACUGGAGAGGAGACUGGAAUUUACGGUGUAGCGGUGAAAUGCGUAGAUAUCGGGAAGAACACCCGUGGCUAAGGCGGCUCUCUAGUACGGUACUGACGCUGAGACGCGAAAGCGUGGGGAGCGAACAGG
rnacentral:rRNA from 1 species